GGACUACCCGGGUAUCUAAUCCUGUUUGCUCCCCACGCUUUCGCAUCUCAGCGUCAGUACCGGGCCAGUGAGCCGCCUUCGCCACUGGUGUUCUUGCGAAUAUCUACGAAUUUCACCUCUACACUCGCAGUUCCACUCACCUCUCCCGGACUCAAGAUCUCCAGUAUCAAAGGCAGUUCCAAGGUUGAGCCCUGGCAUUUCACCCCUGACUUAAAGACCCGCCUACAUGCGCUUUACGCCCAGUAAUUCCGAACAACGCUAGCCCCCUUCGUAUUACCGCGGCGGCUGGCAC
rnacentral:rRNA from 1 species